rnacentral:antisense_RNA from 1 species
GGGAGCUUAGAUGUGGAAGCUCUUUGGAAACCAAGAAACACUCUGCAAAUGAAAAGGGAAGCAGAAGUUCUCCUUAGCUGAUUUUUCUUCUUGCCUUAUACUGGGUUCUUUAACACCAGAACAAAAAUAAAUAAAUAAAAGAAUCUUCCAGAAAUUCAUGAAGAGACUUCAGGUCAGGAAAGCCUGAACUUUCUCAUCCAACACCUGUUCAAGUCGGAGGAUGCUGAUUAAUUCAUGAUGGAAAGGUAUCAAUUUCACAGCCCAGACCUCUACAUUCUUGAAAUGCUCUUCUCAUGGGAGACAUUAAAUAAGCUUUGAAUUAACUGAAGAACCAAUGAUGUGAUCCCUGGAUACUGGCAAUUGUUGCCCAAGAAACCCUCUCCCCUUGCUAUGGGAGUGCUGGGCACCCAAAUAAUGCACCCAAAUAAUUUGAUAGCUCUUGUUACACAACUCUUCUUGGACUAAAAGGCCCUCAGCAUUCCUGUCAAUUUCUACACUCCUGAAGCUUCAUCUGGAGACCUCUGUGGAUUCUAUAACUCAAAGACCCAGGCUGACGGCUGGUGGAAUAGCUACCAUCUCAAAC